CCUGAGAAACCUCGCCAUCUUCUUACUACUUCUCUCUUUAUUGUCGAUGUGGACCUCCAGUUCCCACAUUGUCCUGCAUGAAUUCCAUUCUAUGAGGCUUUAUGAGGGUUACACUCUGCCCAAAAGCAGGUGUGACCUGUUAGAUAGAUACUGUAGGCCUAAACCUACAUUUCCACAUUAAAUGAUUGGGCGAUGAGACAACGGAGCCACAUUCAUUUUCAUCUGAGGGAGCGAAGUGGGCGGGGAACCAGUGGGCUAUGCCAGCAUGGGCUAGGGAACGUGAACAUUUUGGUUUCCAGGACCCUACUGGAUUGGCUGUAGAUACCAAGCGCUACUUAGCCUGCUUACGCAAACAUGACGGUGACCAGGGCGUGCGCAAGAUGGCGGUCAGUGCAGAUCUAUUGUUUUGGUAGCUGAAGGAAUUAUUGGAUUUCCUCACCCAAAUAUAACCAUUUGGUCAUUUCUAAGAUCAUAAAACGCUGUGUGAAUAUGGUUUUGUUUGUUUGUCAAAGUAAUUGAUUACUUUCUGCAAGUUAUUCACCUCUAAAACGAUUAAGUUAGCGACAACACUAGCUAGCUCAAAAAAUAGCUUGUCUACCUACAUGGAACCUUCCACGACCAGAACCAAAAGAAAAGAUAUUGAGAAAUCAUCAGAUGGACAAUUAACAGCAAAAUAUGGUAUGGUUUUAGGUACUCCUCUGUGGGGGGAAAUACUGCUGUGGGUGAUGAAAAUUUGGUGUGCACAAUGCUGACAAGUUGCACCCAUCCAGUCCCCAGCUCAGGCCAUUACCUCAAUACCCCAACACUCCAGUCCAACCCCAGGGGGAAAAGAUGAGAGGACAAGAGCAUGUGUCACUUCUUGAGAUACAAAGCAAUGUUGUGAUGCUUUUGACAGCAAAGAGAGAUGAAAGGGCAAAUGGCUUGGAGGACAUGGUUGGGGUGAAUAUGAUGAAAAUUGAUGCAAAAAAAAAAUGUUGACUUUAUCUCUGGAGAAGUGAAAACCAUCAAAAGUGACAUGAAGAAAACGGAAGUUAUCUGACAGGAAAAUGAAAAGGUGGCUGAACUCAAGCAAAAGGUGAAUGAGGAGGAGAGAUACCAGGCCUGGUGAAACCUGAGGCUCCAUGGAAUUCCAGAGCAGGUGGGUGUCGACAUCAAAUUAGGAGUUGUUGACAUCUGUGAAGCUGUCAUUCCCGAAUCAAACGCCAAACUUCAGGAAAAUGUGGACAUCGUUCAUCGUUUGGGGACUCAGGAAUCAUGACAAGAGACUGAGGACAACCAUCAUCUGGUUCACCAACAGAUCUACACGGGAUCUUCUCUGUAGGCGAGCGAAGAACUGUCAGUUCCUCAUCACGCAAAAAUGGAGGUUCACAGAGGAUCUGACCUCAGCGGUCAAAGUGACACGGGAGGGACUGUGUCCGAUGGCAGCUGCAGCUCGAAACUGAAUUUCUUUGUCAGUGCAAGAGUGACCAUCGAUGGGAAAGAAAUGCAGCCAAACCAGAACAUUUGAGAGAGAGACAGAGUCUAACUCGGACAGAACUGGGAGGCCUAAACACUGCCUAAUUGCAGGUGAAAAACAGCCUUUUAUUGUAAAGAAUUUACACAAACACUUGAAUGAGGAAAGGCUGACUUGAGAACUGGUAAACCAAACACUAACUAUGGGUGAAUCACUGCUUAUUGUAAGAUCUACACAAUGUCUCCCUCAUGUGGGUGUAAAUAAUUUGAUCACUUUAUGACCAGUAUUUCUUAGUUUUAUGUUGUAGGGGUUAAUAAUGGGAUGGAAAUCCUUUUGAGUUACAUAUCCUUAGGAAAAGCUUACAUUAGCAUAAUAAGGAUGUUGGUUGAAGUUCAUGUCUUUAUCUCUUUGUUCAAUUCAUGUCAGGGGUAUUCGUCAUUUACACAAACGUAAGGCUAUUUUCAUAUAUUGCAAAUAGUUUAAUGCAGACUUUUACUUUCUACAAGAGACUGUAUUAAUGCCUUCUCACAUGUAUCUGGUUUAUCUCUGAAUAUUAGGAAAUGUGAAUUAUUUGCGUUGAAAAGAUGUGACUUAAACUCAUUAUGUAAUAUCGGGGCUCUCGAGUGGCGCAGAGGUCUAAGGCACUGCAUUUCAGUGCUAGAGGUGUAACUACAGACCCUGGUUAAAUUUGAGGCUGUGUCAUAACCGGCCUUGGGAGUUGGAGUUGGAUUGGGAGUUCCCUAGGGCGGAGCACAACUGGCCCAGCGUCGUCUGGGUUAGUGUUUGGCCGGUGUAGGCCAUCAUUGUAAAUAAGAAUUUGUUCUUAACUGACUUGUCUAGUUAAAUUAAUUUUUUUUUCUUUUAAAUGAUAUCCCUGUAAAAGAUGUGAUCACAUAUCUUGGUAUUACAGAAAGGGCCAACUUAAAUUUCUCUCCUACUGUAGAGAAAAUUGGAAAGAGAUUUAACUCCUGGUUAUUAAGGGAUCUUUCUUUAUCUGAACGUGUACUUUUAUCACAAUCUGAAGGUCUGUCCAGAUGAGUUUAUACCUCCCUUGCCUUGGAUGUUCCUCUGUCAGUAACUAAAAUGGUUGAUACUAAAUUAUUUAACUUCAUAUGGAGGAAUAAAGCUCAUUAUUUAAGAAAAGCGGUAAUAUGUAACACCCAAAGUGAGGGAGGGUUGAAUGCUCUGGAUAUUAAAACCAAUAAUAUCAUCUUUAAGAUCAAAUGGAUACAAAACUAUUUGAGAAAUAAGAAUUGCAUUUGGAAUAUAAUCCCUCAUUUAAUAUUUCAACAGAUUGGUUGUCUAGAAUUCUUACUCAAAUGCAACUUUGACAUGGAUGCCUAUUAAGCUUGCUAACUUUCAUUAACAGGUACUUCUAACUUGGAACUUCAUGAACAAACAUGUUUUUUCCCAACAUAGAUAUACAAUCUGGAAUAAUAAAGACAUAAAUACAACACACCAGAACUUGUUUGACAACAGCAUUAUUUGAGUUCAAUGAUUGAUGAUGGACAACAAUAUGAUUAUUCAGAAUGUAUGAGAACACACAAUGUUACAUUCACUCCUGAGGAGUUUCUAAUAGUUGUUAGAACUGUCCCUAAAGGUGCCAUUCUUCUUUUAGGAGAAAAUAACAUGACUCCAAGUGCAACUGUUGAUGAGUUUGUAGCCUCAAUACAGCUAGAAGACAUGUACAUUUUAAACUAUAACUACUAUGACAUGUAUAUAAGAACUAUGUCAAUAUGUUACCAUUCCCUCUGCUUUGCAUCCCUAGGACAAGUGAACUGGAACAUAGUCUCGUUGUUGUCUGGCAAAUAUUGUAUCAUACAAACUCAUUCAUAGAAUCUACCUGGCGGUAGGUUGCUUAGUGGUUAGAGCAUUGGGCCAGUAACCGAAAGGUUGCUGGAUCAAAUCCCCGAGCUGACAAGGUACUAAAAAUAUGUUGUUCUGGCCCUAAAAAAGGCAGUUAACCCACUGCUCCCUGGUAGGCUGUCAUUGUAAGCAAAACUGACUGGUUAAAUUAAAAAAAUACCUUUUAUUAUACACAGAUUCAAAUUAGCUACUGAUAACAAAUGUGUAUUUUGUGGUUGAGACCCAGAGACUCUUGACCAUUUAUUUUGGCACUGUUCUUAUGUCAGAAGAUUUUGGAGUGA
ensembl:lncRNA